rnacentral:lncRNA from 1 species
AGGCAUCUGGGGGCAUCUAAAAAUCCUUCCCCAAAGAGGUAGUAUACUGGCAAAGUUAAUUUAUUUUUUGAUGAAGAUAUUCAAGGAGUUCAAACUUCUCAUAAUGAUGCUGUUGUCGUCUUUAUGAUAAUAAUAAAAUAUGACACAAAAAUUAUAUUAGUGGAUAAUGGAAGCUAUACCGACGUAUUGUUCUACGAUGCAUUCUAAAAAAUGAAUAUGUUACAUCAGUUAAAGCAGGUUGGCACUCUGCUGGUCAGAUACUUUAAAGAUCUUGUAGC